GCUCAACUGCAUAUUCCACAUUCAACAGACAUUUAAUAGACAUUUAUAUUAUAAUUAUUAUAUUUUAGUGGUUAAUUAUGGAAGAGUGUUCUCCAUCUCAAAAUAAAAUAAUUAUCUUUUUUUAAGAAAUUAAUACUUUAAAUCAGCAAUAAUGCAUUCAAUUCAUCAACAUUAUUACAAAAAUCUAUUUUUCUAAUAAAUGCUUUCCUUUUUUCUAUUCGUAAAAGAAUCUUGAAAAAACAUCUCAGUUUCCACAAAUAGUUGCUAACUACUGUUAGUAUUGAUAAUUAUAAGAAAUGUUUCUUGAGCAAUGUAAUAAUUUCUUAACUAGUAAUAAUUUCACAAUAUUACUGUUUUUACUGUAUUUAUGAAUUAAACAAAUGCAGCUUUGGUCAGCAUUACAAUCUUUCCUCAAAAACAUAAAAACUCUUACUAAAAAAUGUAGUGUUCCUUGCAUUAACAACUUUUUUUUCAAUAAUAUUUCACAAUAUUACUGUUUUUUUCUGUGUUUUUGAUCAAAUAAAUGCAGGCUUGAUGAGCAGAAGAGACUUCUUUCAAAAACAUUAAAAAUAGUAAUGUUUCCAAACUUUUGACCUGUACUGUAUAUGCUACACAAUGGGUAGGGUUAGGGUUGAGGGGUAGAUGCGUAUUAUAUGUACGCGAAAACUGCGUAUAAUAUGCACGCGAAAACUAAGUAUUAUAUGCACGCCAACAAAUUUCCUAUCAUAUGCACGCAAAAACUGCUUAUCAUAUGCACGCCAAAGUCAAUGUUUGCUUAUCAAGUUUUUCUAGACUUUAUUUCUCUGAACUAACGAGCUGUGGACACUGAUGACUUGCCCGAGGAGAAAGGGUAGGCCACUCUCUCCUUUGCGAAGACAGUCACUGGAGUAUUGGAGCCAUUUAGGUCCCUAGUGUCCAGCAAAUGAGUUGUGACAGGCAUGUGACACAACCGGGAGCUCAAGCAACCUCUUAAAUAAACAGACCGGCAGCAACAGCAUGCUAGUUCCCAUCACGGACCACACAACUUGACCAGACCCAGCUCACUGCACAUCGCCAUUUUCCACAAGCCCUCCAAAUGGCGCCUGUGAUAAAGAUCGAGCAGGACCACAUGAAGAGAAAAACCAACAACUAAUUACACUAUUACUGCUGCAGGUUGUGAUAAAGUUCCCGAUCGCAAAUGUUCACAGCCACUGGCAAAAAAAAAAAAAAAAAAAAUGUUUUCAUUUGUGCUUCCCCUCUUUUUUUUCUCUCCAAAUGUGGCACAUACUGGCAUCCUGCCCGGCGUGGCAAACAUCCUGUCAGGACCAUGAUAGCUCUAAGUAAACAUGACAUGUAAAGUCUGUGUACAUACUGUAAUUGCUGUCAUAGACAUUUGUCACAGAAACAUGGCUGGAAUAUGUAAGCAGACUCUAAAUAUUUGGGAAUCUUGUUUGCACCCUUGGAAUGUGUGGAUAAGGAAGGAAUAUAAUAUGCAUCAUGGUGUUCUGUGGCGUAUUUUACUAUUAUAUUUAAAAUGUCGUUUAGAUUUAUCUGACAGCCACAGAUCAAUGUAGGGGCAAAAAUUUUCAAAAUAUUCCAACGUCAUUAAAGUUGUCUGUUUACUGAUUA